UUGCCAUGAUGAGUCAGUAUUUCAGAAUAAAAUAUGUUGAAUAUUUUUUUGAGCUUUUUAACUCUGAGCUAA